rnacentral:rRNA from 1 species
UGGAUUAAAGGUGGCUUUUGGGCUGUCGCAGAUGGAUGAGCCUGCGUUGGAUUAGCUAGUUGGUGGGGUAAGGGCCUACCAAGGCUACGAUCCAUAGCUGAUUUGAGAGGAUGAUCAGCCACAUUGGGACUGAGACACGGCCCAAACUCCUACGGGAGGCAGCAGUGAGGAAUAUUGGACAAUGGGGGCAACCCUGAUCCAGCAAUGCCAUGUGUGUGAAGAAGGCCUUAGGGUUGUAAAGCACUUUAGUUGGGGAAGAAAGCUUUGAGGUUAAUAGCCUUGAGGAAAAGGACGUUACCCAAAGAAUAAGCACCGGCUAACUCCGUGCCAGCAGCCGCGGUAAUACGGGGGGUGCAAGCGUUAAUCGGAAUUACUGGGCGUAAAGGGUCUGUAGGUGGUUUGUUAAGUCAGAUGUGAAAGCCUAGGGCUCAACCUUGGAACUGCAUUUGAUACUGGUAAACUAGAGUACGGUAGAGGAAUGGGGAAUUUCUGGUGUAGCGGUGAAAUGCGUAGAGAUCAGAAGGAACACCAAUGGCGAAGGCAACAUUCUGGACCGAUACUGACACUGAGGGACGAAAGCGUGGGGAUCAAACAGGAUUAGAUACCCUGGUAGUCCACGCUGUAAACGAUGAGUACUAGCUGUUGGAGUCGGUGUAAAGGCUCUAGUGGCGCAGCUAACGCGAUAAGUACUCCGCCUGGGGACUACGGCCGCAAGGCUAAAACUCAAAGGAAUUGACGGGGACCCGCACAAGCGGUGGAGCAUGUAGUUUAAUUCGAUGCAACGCGAAGAACCUUACCUGGUCUUGACAUCCUGCGAUCUUUCUAGAGAUAGAUUGGUGCCUUCGGGAACGCAGUGACAGGUGCUGCACGGCUGUCGUCAGCUCGUGUUGUGAAAUGUUGGGUUAAGUCCCGCAACGAGCGCAACCCCUAUUGAUAGUUACCAUCAUUAAGUUGGGUACUCUAUUAAGACUGCCGCUGACAAGGCGGAGGAAGGUGGGGACGACGUCAAGUCAUCAUGGCCCUUACGACC